GAAUUUUAGAUAAAUUUAUUAUAUAAAGUAUUGUUUAUAAAAAAAUUUAAUAAAAUUAUUUUUUAUUGGGAGGAUAGAUAAAUUAAGAAAACUUUAAUUUUAUAAAAACAUUAAUUUAUGAUACAUAAAUGAGUGGCUUAGAAGUUUAACGAGAAUUAAUUACCUUAGGGAUAACAGCAUUAUAUCUUUAGAGAGAUCUUAUUAAUAAAGAUGUUUGU
rnacentral:rRNA from 1 species